AAAAAUGCAAUAAUUACCAGAAAAUGACAUAGAAAUUCACAAAAAAUUAUAAAAUUAUUUUUUGUUUGAAUUUUGGGGAGUGAUUCUCUUGGUCGGAGAUAUUUCAAAUGGAUAUUUGAGGACAUGGGGUGGGAUUCGAGGAAAAUGAGUUAUGUAUUUGAAUAGAGGAAGAGACGGGGAAUUUGGGGUGUAUUUUUGGCGGCGUUUGGAGGCGGUGGUGUCUUUGCCGGCG
rnacentral:lncRNA from 1 species